GCCUAGUUGGCUCAGUCGGUAGAGCAUGCGAUUCUUGAUCUCAGGUUGUGAGUUCCAGCCCCACGUUAGGUA
rnacentral:tRNA from 1 species